rnacentral:tRNA from 1 species
GGCGUCAUAGCCAAGCGGUAAGGCAAGGGACUGCAACUCCCUGAGCACCGGUUCAAAUCCGGUAGGCCCCUCCA